CCUACGGGAGGCAGCAGUGGGGAAUUUUGGACAAUGGGCGAAAGCCUGAUCCAGCAAUGCCGCGUGAGUGAAGAAGGCCUUCGGGUUGUAAAGCUCUUUUGUCAGGGAAGAAACGGUGAGAGCUAAUAUCUCUUGCUAAUGACGGUACCUGAAGAAUAAGCACCGGCUAACUACGUGCCAGCAGCCGCGGUAAUACGUAGGGUGCAAGCGUUAAUCGGAAUUACUGGGCGUAAAGCGUGCGCAGGCGGUUUUGUAAGUCUGAUGUGAAAUCCCCGGGCUCAACCUGGGAAUUGCAUUGGAGACCG
rnacentral:rRNA from 1 species